GAUGAACGCUGGCGGCGUGCCUAAUACAUGCAAGUCGAGCGAACAGACGAGGAGCUUGCUCCUCUGACGUUAGCGGCGGACGGGUGAGUAACACGUGGAUAACCUACCUAUAAGACUGGGAUAACCUCGGGAAACCGGAGCUAAUACCGGAUAAUAUAUUGAACCGCAUGGUUCAAUAGUGAAAGACGGUUUUGCUGUCACUUAUAGAUGGAUCCGCGCCGCAUUAGCUAGUUGGUAAGGUAACGGCUUACCAAGGCAACGAUGGGUAGCCGACCUGAGAGGGGGAUCGGCCAACCUGGAACUGGGACACGGUCCAGACUCCUACGGGAGGCAGCAGUAGGGAAUCUUCCGCAAUGGGCGAAAGCCUGACGGAGCAACGCCGCGUGAGUGAUGAAGGUCUUCGGAUCGUAAAACUCUGUUAUUAGGGAAGAACAAAUGUGUAAGUAACUAUGCACGUCUUGACGGUACCUAAUCAGAAAGCCACGGCUAACUACGUG
rnacentral:rRNA from 1 species